GCCGGGCGUGGUGGCGCACACCUUUAAACCCAGCACUAGGGAGGCAGAGGUAGGAGGAUUGCCGUGAGUUCAAGGCCACCCUGAGACUACAUAGUGAAUUCCAGGUCAGCCUGAGCCAGAGUGAGACCCUGCCUCAAAAAACAAAAAAAACAAAAAAAAGUAGGAUCUUGCUCACUCUAUCCCAGGCUGACCUGGAAUUCAUUCUUUAGUCUCAGGGUGGCCUCGAACUCAUGGUGAUCCUUUGACCUCU
rnacentral:sRNA from 1 species